CCGGGGCCAGCCGGGCGCACGCGCCAGUUUUAAAGAGCCUCCCGAAAGCCUCGGUGGGAACUUCCGGCAGGCAUUUAAAGGCCGUAUGAUUCACGGAGGCCGGAAGGGGGCGGAGCGGGAAGUGAUCCGCGUUUAGAAGCCGGGUCGGAAACGCCUCUUUGAACGUGCGGGGGCGGUGUGUAGGGCGGAGGGGCGGGGCCGCUGAAGGUUGUCGCUCGGAUUUGUGACGUCGCGUUUUUACAUCCCAAGCGCUCAAUGAGCAUCCCGAGUACGGCAGUGGAGGGCGGUGUAGUCCGCUAGCGGGGCUGGCGACAGCCUGUUUCCCUUCUCCUCGUUUCGACGGUAAGACUCGUGUUCCUGAGGAAGGCGACCGGGGGAGUCAUUUCCCCAAAUCUUUCCAGCCUUGGUGGGCCGCGAAGUUGACUUGCUUUCAAACGACUUCGUGCCUCACCGAGCCUCCUGCCCGUCCCCCCUCACUGCGAGUGAUCGUUAGUACUUUUAAAGCAGAUCGAGGGAUUCCAAGUUCCGAUAAACCAGAGCGCAGCAAAACCUUCACCGAGUCCUGCCUUCGGUAGCCCAGCCUCCGUCUCCCUCCAACAAUCCUGAAAUAGCGGAUUGGUGCCGGGGAUGUUGACGUUGAUUGGUAUAAUGCUUUGCAUUUUCAAAAGAGCUUUUCGCAGCCCACCUGAGGGAUGGCUAGGAGGGUGUAAGGAGAACCAAGACAGUCCUUGGGAGGCAAGGGUUGACCCAGUCCCGGAGCUCCCACUACUUAACCAGUUUGCGCAGCGUCUGCUACAUGUUUUCACUGUUGAGAGAGCUGAAAUUUUAAAAAUUUGGAAUUUUAAAAAUCAAGGGGUAAUUACGGGAGCCCUCGGCCAGGUUAAAUCAUCCUUGAGUCCUCUAAUGAAAACUGAGGCUAGUGGUGAAACCUAAUAAACUCUACCUCAACCACAUGAUCAAGGAAUGUGUUGACACUGAAGUUCAAGCUGAUCUCACACUGCAAAGUGGUGUUAUGGUAAGGUGAAAUCUUACCAAAUACACUCAACUGUUUUUGUAAAUGUUUUUGCAACUACUUUCAAACUUGAGAAACUUUUUAUUUCAACGGAGGAGGAAAUGUUAGAUGAAUGAUAAAGAAGAUCAUUUAUUUCUUAAAUAACAGCAUAAUUAAAUAUAAUUGCUUGUGGUUAGAACCAUAUUAGUUAUCUUAAGACAAAAUACCUUGAAUUAUUAAAUGUCUUGAGUUCUCACUGUAUAAUUUUAUUUUAUUUUUGUGCAAAUUAAAAACCAUAGUGAAAUAUCACAGAGAAAGUCAUCUGACGUUUAGUAACCUGUAACAAAACUCAUUUGCUAUUUCUAUUUAAAAAAGAAAAUAUUUACCUUAAGUUCUGCUUGUUUGGAAAGGCUGUCAGUCAAAAGCAGUGUAGAGAGGUCAAAUAACAAGGAUAAACCCCAUGGGUGUAAAAAUCUAUAGUUUCAUCUGGUGGUAUCUUUAUGCUUCAGACUGUGGAACAUCUAUAAUACAAGUUAGUGGGGGUGGGGGGGGAUCCCAGCACGGGCCUGAGCCAUAGUCACCCUAGGAUUCAGGCACAACUGGAUGGCUCAUGAUCCCAUCUAAUCUGGGGUCCAGUGCCUGUGGGACUGAGGAGUUUCCCAUAAAGAAGUCAUCCUAAGGGAAGACAGAGUUGAGAAGCACAAGACGAGCUACCGUUGCACAACAGGGCUCUGGUAGUACUCAGUCCUCACAGACUCACAUCUAGGUAGGGGAAGGGAAAGCACCAUUCACAGUCACAGCAUUAACAGAAAAAGAAGUACUCCGGUGGGACGGGGCACCGCAUGGCUCCUUUGAGUUUGGCCGCAUUCACCCAGCAGCCAGAGCAGUGCUGGGAACGCUGGCAGUGUUGAGAGGUGGCAAGUGAUGUUUAGAAGGCUUAGGGGACUUUGUGGGAGGAGCUGGGAAGCUAUACCCUCGCGCAAGGAGCAGGAGACAGAGGAAGAAGAAAGGCAAGUGGCUUGCAACCAUACAAAUAUGUUCCGCCUGUAACUCCACAAACCAGUUGGGAGAAGAACAGCAUGAGAGCUGAAGGUUCCACAUGAGCGUGGGAUGAAAGCGGAGGCCAUGAAGACCCAGGUCUUGCUAGUGUGGCUGGGGAAAAGCCGGCUCAACUGAGUGACACACCUGCUUAAUCUUGCUACAUUCCCUACCCAGUGGAGGAGAACACAGAGAUAAGUGAAUGUCACCAGAGGGCUGUAUGCUAUGUGUUGACCCUGCCUUUCUGUUCUAGCCAUCAAGAUGCAAUGGGAAUUUUGACUUUGUGGACAUUUGGGGCAGAAUUAUGCUGAAAAAGAUGAAUUUUCACUGAAAGUCUUUUUCCCUUGUGGAGAUCCUCCUCAAAUUAAUUAGUUCUAAGGUUGGGUUUAUAGAAAUCUAUGGAAGUAUCAUGAAGAAAAUACUGGACAGUGGGAUUACUAGUCAGCAUAUUACACUGAAAGGGCACCACAUUUGGAAUGAGAAGACCUUGGGCUUCUGUCCUCUCUUUACCAGGUAAUAUAGUUAGGAUGUCCUACAAUAGUUGUUCUGCCUCUUUGAGAAUCCAUUUAUUUCCUUUGCACUAAAAUGGUGCCCUGUCUCCCAAUGGCUAAAGGAUUCUUAUGAGACUUAUAUUGUGAUAAUAUAUGUGAGACCAUUUUGUCAGUAACAAAGUUUAAGCCCAAUGUAAGGUGAUGAUAAUGAUAAUAAUAAUAAUAAUAGGCCUUAAGUAUCAUGACACCUUAUUGAUAAAGUGUCUUCAGACUUUCUAUCAACUUGAAUUUUCCCUUUUCAGAAUGACCCUACCAGACUUUACCUCAUCUAAAUACCACCGUUGACCUCCAACCCCAUUAUAUUCAUCACAUUUUUUUAGUCGCUUGCUUUUUUUUAUU